rnacentral:lncRNA from 1 species
AUGACAGGUGGCAGCUGCCCACGAGCAGGAAGACAAGGAGGAGUCAACCCACUCCAUCAGAUGGAGGAACCUUGGCAGUGUCUUCUUCUAGCUGGCCCCAGAGGAAGGAGGUGCUCACAAGGUCCCGGUUCUGAGGACUCUCUCAAGCUGUCUGUGGACCAGCUGGAGCAGAACAUUCAAGGAACGCUGACAUCUGCUGUCCGCACUCAGCUGGAGGGUCACACUCAGCUUCAAGGGAGACAGACCCCUGACCAGGUGUCCUCUGCUGUUCCCUCCCUCGCCAAUAAUACCUCUGACUUCGGGCAAAGUGUUCUAGUUCACCUCCAGCUCUUCCUGCCCCAAGGCCACCUAUAUUCCUAUUGAGCCUGAUGCCACCCUCUGAGAGAGGCAUUGCCUGGCAGUGGAGACGAGACUCCGGUGAAGCCGGAUCAUAAUCCGAGAUCGCAGAGCUCCUUCAGGUUAGCGAUGGACUGAGAACCAGGGCCUUACGCACGUGUAUCAGGUAAGGAGUGAGCAGAGGAUAGUGAGGCAGGGUAGGGAAAAGGGGGCCUCAUACCUACUUAGAGUUGUAAUUUUUCUAUUUUUGUCUACACUAAACUACCUGAAAGGAACAUCCAAAAUUGCUAUGAUUUUCAUACCUCUUGGGCAAAUGGAUUGACUUAAAGUCACAUUCUCAGUAGUGUUUUUGCUGAACCCUAUCCAUUUUAAUGCAAUCGUGUGCAUUAUAAGCUAUUUCCCUUAUUUGCUUUCCCUUCUUCCACUGCAUACUAUUUUACUUUAAAUGUGUAUUUUCCUAUCAACCAGUCUUGUAACAUGUGAUUUAUUUUUCCAUGUGCUUCUAUUUUCAAUUCAUGUAAAAACUAUUAGAUUGUAUGUUAUUUAUCAUUUUGCACUCAUUUGCCAAUUCCUAGGAUCUUUACAUGGACUUUGAUCUAUUGCUUCCCAGUCUGGUGUAUUAGCCUUUGAUGAGUCUCUGCCACUCCUUACCCAUCUGCUGUCCCCAGUGGACACUCAGAUUGCCACUCGGUCACCAUCACCAUCUAUACUAGUCCCUUACAGACCUGUGAGAGAAUUUCUCUAGGCUACUGAACUGGUGAGCAGAAUUGUACCAUAGCAAGUAUAUAAACCUAAUUUUCCUGAGUUCUUCCAGAUUGUGCGUUAGCACGAAAGCAGCAUUUACCUUCUGACAGUGCAUGAAGAUUAUUCCAUGCACACAUUCCUCACAAGCCCUUGGAGAGGCCUAGCGGGCAUUGGAACACUCACUAGGGGUGGCGAUUAGCUGUGGUGGUGGCCACCUGAUUCAGUCUGUUCUGACUGCUGCCAGGGUCUGUCCUGGUGUGUCAGUCUGCACUGUGCUUUGAGAGCCAUUCUCUGAUGUUCAAUAGAAAAAUCUCUGUUCACCUUUCUGUUGGAUUUGAAGCUAUCUUAAUUUGCUCAAACCCUUUAUGCUUAAACUAUUAAGUUUCUGUCACAAAAAAAGACAAAAAGCACAAAAACCAAAAAUCCCAAAUGCAAAAACACCAAAACCAGAAAAAGAAACAACAGUGACCUCACAUUCAACUUCAUACUUUAGCUUAAUGUAAUCUCUUUUCUUUGUAGCAACCUGGGUAGAAUUAAUCUAGAUUUUUCCUCAUAAAAUAAUUAAGUAUUUGAAGGAUUUUUUUUCUAGUUUCAGGAUAUUUCAAGAUUUUUAUUUUCAAGUAAUUUCUACACCAAACAUGGGCUUGAACUUACGACCACGAGAUCAAGAGUAGCAUGCUGUACCAACUGAUCCAGCCAGGUAUCCCUAUUUCAAGAAUGUUAGUUUGCCAUUGUCCAGGAUUUUUAGAUGAGAAAAAGGGUAAAUAUAAAAGAAAAAGCAAAUUCCCCUCGUCACAUCUGGAAAUUUUACAUUUUUCCUUAUAAGCCCUUCCAUCAAGAAUUAUUUAAAUAAAGACAUUUUGAUCAUUUACAUGUGUGCUAAUUUCAUUCACACAGGAAUCUUGGGGCAGGAGCCAGGAGGGCUGCUUCCCAGGACCUCUUUUGAUCCUGAUGGGAUGUCUACAGAUCCAGAUCACACGCUGAUUGGAGCCCAGCUCUAUGGUUGGGGUGGGGAAGGUGGGUAGAGUAGAACCGCAGAGAAACUAAAGAUGUAGGAACUGUUCCUUGGCUAAACUCAGAAGAAUUGUUCAAGCAGAAAGAUAUCCUACUUAACCAGAUUCUCAGAUCCCUGCCUCAUUGUAUAUCCACUCCCCGACUCACCCAGAUUUUAAGGCUGACUUUGUAUGAGGCUAAAAUUGGCACUCCUUUGUCCCUGGUCAGCUUGAACACUUCUAACCCAACCCUGCCCAGGACCAAAGAAGAGGAGAGCUCUAAAUUCCUACCGCUAGUAGGUCCCAAGGGUAGCUCAGGAUCAGAGCUUUGUCCCCGGCCCUUCACCCUUCACUCUUCUCCCUUCUCCAGCUCCAUACCUUUAUCAGAGUACUAAUGGGAGAGAAAAAGGACUUCCUCACAUAUGCACCCUCCCUCUCCUCUUGUAAUUCUGUCUACUAUUGAGAAAGGGCACAAAACAUUUAUGAAAGGCCUCUAAAAACAACAUUUAUUGUCUUAUUAGGGACUACAUGAAGAGACAAGUUCCCAGGCUGAUCCUUCAGCUUUCCUAAGGCCAUAUGGUCCUAAGGCCUCAUGGUUCAAAAGUAGCAUGUAUCCAGGGUGGGGUAGGGGAGGACAGCAUCAUUCUGGAGGUCUCCACCACCACAGAUCUCCAGUCUCUGGGGUGUGUGUCCAGAGCUGGAUGGAUGUGGCUAAGAGCCAGCCAUGGCAGGUAGCUGUCCAGUGUUCUGUAGUACCAUGUUCUCUGGGGGCUGUCUGACUCCUUUUGGCUCGUGGAUGAUGGCUCCUAUGCAGACAGAUCUAAGUCUGGCUCCAAAGUGUUCUGGGUUCCAGAUGAGUGGCUGUGUUGAGGGCAGGUGUGGCUCAGUAGCCCACACAGACUAGAAAGUAGUUCCCAGUUGAAAUAUAUACUGUCCCACCAGGGCUCCCCCAGCUUAGGGUAGAAAGGGAGAGGCCAUGGCCCCAAAUCUUUUGAGCUCAGAGGCAAAGGCAGUGGGGGUUCUAGCACCACCUCUGCAGAUUCCCAAGCCUUCUUCACACAGUGGCAAAAAGGCUGGUCCAUGACUUCCACCUCUGAAUCUGGAGAAAUGGAGUGUCUAGACGGAGAGAAGAGGCAAAGGACUGAGCUUAGCAUGGAGCUUUUUUUUUUUUUCCGAGGACAUGAUUGCUACGUUUAAUUCAAUGGUUAUACCCAAUCCUGUCUUGUAAAACCAAAACACCCCUAUCAAAACUACAUUGUGAUGUGAGUACAGGUUUCUCGUUUUUGAUACAGCUCUAGAAAAAAGUUGGCACCAAAUGCACAUUAAAAGAAGUUUUAAGGCUUAAUAAAAAUACAGACUAAGGAUUCCAAAAUGCAGCUUAGAGGUUGAGAACAGGAUGCUGAGUUAAUGAACCUUCCAAAUACAGGCAGUCCCCGGUGUAUUGAGCAUUUCCCAAAUAUAAAUGGGCUCACAGGAGUAGGAAGUCCUCUCCUGCUUCUCUCAGUGACCAGGCUACCAGGCACCUAAACCCACUUCUACAGCUCGGGGGAGGGAAGGGCGGGGAGAGCAGGAAGGGAGGGCACCCGUCUGUACUGUGCAGAGACUCCUGCUCAGUUCCCCUGUGCCUCCAUCCCUACUUCUAGCAUGGGACUUCAUAUACUGUUUGGUCUCUUGUGCAGUCCCAAAUUACAGUGCAUUAGGUAGGGUGGUGACAUUACUUUGAGACAAAUUGUUUCAGAAGGCUGAGUCUGAUGAUGUUAAGUCAAAAGUAGAAUCAUAUUGAUCCCAAUUCUAUAAAGUUUGUAUAUAAAGUUUGUACUAUAAAGUUUGUAUAAAAAGUUUGUACUAUAAAGUUUGUAUAUAAAGUUUGUAUAUAAAGUUUGUACUAUAAACUGGUAUCAGUGAUUAAUAGGGUUAAAGUUAAAAACAAGAAAGAUCACAAAUGGGGUUACUCUGUGUGAAAAACCAGAUACAUUCUGUGUCCUUUACAUAUGUGAUAUUGGAUAUUCUCAUCAUCACCUGAAAUUAGAGCACAGGCUUUGCUAGAGUGGAGGUGAAAACCUGGGUCUCCAGAGAGAUUUCUGUAGGGGGACUGGUUUGGAGAGGCGGUAAGGACCAAAGUGAUUCAUCAAUUCUCCAGUCUUGAUUUGAACUCUCAACUUCCUGCUUUGGUCCUCUACUUCUGGAUUCCUAAAUGACAACCGAGAGGAGAGAGAGACAAAAGAGCUUUAGAUAUCAAAAGAUUACAUGUUUUGGGUUCCAAUUCUUAUUUCAACCUUUACCAAGUGUAUAUAAUUAUUAAACUAAGUUGCUCUUUUAAAAGAUUUUAUUUAUUCAUGAGAGACACAGGCAGAGGGAGAAGCAGGCUCUGUGCAGGGAGCCGGAUGCGGGACUUGAUCCCAGGUCUCCAGGAUCAGGCCCUGGGCCAAAGGCAGGCCCUAAACCGCUCAGCCACCUAGGGAUUCCCCUGCCAGUUGCUUUUUUUAAACUGUGAAGGGAGGACAAAAAAUACUGAUUUCAAAAGGCAGCUGUGAGGAUUUAAUAAAAUAUUGGUAAGGUGACAGUUCCUGACACACAACUAAUAACCUUUG